rnacentral:rRNA from 1 species
AACGAACGCUGGCGGCAGGCCUAAAACAUGCAAGUCGAACGCCCCGCAAGGGGAGUGGCGCACGGGUGAGUAACGCGUGGGAACGUGCCCUUCAGUACGGAACAACGUCGGGAAACUGACGCUAAUACCGUAUAAUAUCUCCGGAUCAAAGAUUUAUCGCUGAAGGAGCGGCCCGCGUCUGAUUAGCUAGUUGGUGAGGUAAAGGCUCACCAAGGCUACGAUCAGUAGCAGGUCUGAGAGGAUGAUCUGCCACACUGGGACUGAGACACGGCCCAGACUCCUACGGGAGGCAGCAGUUAGGAAUAUUGGACAAUGGGCGAAAGCCUGAUCCAGCCAUGCCGCGUGUGUGACGAAGGCCUUAGGGUUGUAAAGCACUUUCGUUGGGGAUGAUAAUGACCGUACCCAAAGAAGAAGCCACGGCUAAAUUCGUGCCAGCCGCCGCGGUAA